GGGGUGCAAUGUGCCCUCUGAGCACAGAAUCAUCACUGUGGAUUCCUGCUUCAGUCCUGUGGGCACGAGCUGUACUGUGUGCACUCAGGAGAGCCAGAAAGGAGCACGGUGUCAUCACCUGAGGGGAAACAAAAAUCAGAAACGAGGAGGGGAAAUUUUGGUGCUUAUUUUUAGACUCUGUGGCUAAGAAGAAGCUUUACCACUUCCCUCACUCAGUAUUAAGCAAAGGACUU